rnacentral:rRNA from 1 species
GAUGAACGCUGGCGGCGUGCCUAAUACAUGCAAGUCGAGCGAACAGAUGAGGAGCUUGCUCCUCUGACGUUAGUGGCGGACGGGUGAGUAACACGUGGAUAACCUACCUAUAAGACUGGGAUAACUUCGGGAAACCGGAGCUAAUACCGGAUAAUAUAUUGAACCGCAUGGUUCAAUAGUGAAAGACGGUUUUACUGUCACUUAUAGAUGGAUCCGCGCCGCAUUAGCUAGUUGGUAAGGUAACGGCUUACCAAGGCAACGAUGCGUAGCCGACCUGAGAGGGUGAUCGGCCACACUGGAACUGAGACACGGUCCAGACUCCUAAGGGAGGCAGCAGUAGGGAAUCUUCCGCAAUGGGCGAAAGCCUGACGGAGCAACGCCGCGUGAGUGAUGAAGGUCUUCGGAUCGUAAAACUCUGUUAUUAGGGAAGAACAAAUGUGUAAGUAACUAUGCACGUCUUGACGGUACCUAAUCAGAAAGCCACGGCUAACUACGUG